UACGUAGGGUGCGAGCGUUAAUCGGAAUUACUGGGCGUAAAGCGUGCGCAGGCGGUUUUGUAAGCCAGGUGUGAAAUCCCCGGGCUCAACCUGGGAAUGGCAUUUGGGACUGCAAGGCUGGAGUGCGGCAGAGGAGACUGGAAUUCCUGGUGUAGCAGUGAAAUGCGUAGAUAUCAGGAGGAACACCGAUGGCGAAGGCAGGUCUCUGGGCAUUAACUGACGCUGAGGAGCGAAAGCAUGGGGAGCGAACAGG
rnacentral:rRNA from 1 species